CAACUUGGCCCAUACCUCUUCGAUCUCUCAGUCUCAAGUAUGGUAGCUUCGGCAGCGCUCCGCCGGGUCCGCUCCUCGCCGCACCUACGGCACGCCGUCGCGUACGUAUCUUACGGCAGCGCUGCUGCCACGUCCGCCGCCGUGGGGCUCGAGCGCGCACAGGAUCCAAACCGCCUCAUCGUUGACCUGGCUGCGGCGGGGCGCGUGUGGGACGCGCGCAAGCUGUUCGACGGAACGCCCGAGCGGGACGUGGUGUCCUGGACAGCGCUGGUGUCCGCGUACGCGCGGCGGGGGAUGCUGCGCGACGCGCGGUCGCUGUUCGACCGCUCCGACGCGCGCCGGAACGUGGUGACCUGGACGGCGCUCCUCUCGGGCUACGCACGCGCCGGCCUCGUCGACGAGGCCGAGGUGCUGUUCCAGCGGAUGCCCCAGAGGAACGUCGUCUCCUGGAACACGAUGCUGGAGGCUUACGCUGUGGCGGGAAGGGCGGGUGAUGCCUGCGCCCUGUUCGACCGCAUGCCAGUCAGGGAUGCCGGCUCCUGGAACAUUCUGCUGGCCAUGCUAGUGCGGUCGGGGAGCGUGGAUAAGGCGCGCGAGCUGUUUGGAAGAAUGCCGGAGAGGGAUGUAAUGGCUUGGACGACGAUGGUUGACGGCGUUGCGCGGAGCGGUAAUGUUGACGAGGCUCGAUUGUUGUUUGAUAGCAUGCCAGAGAGGAAUGUAGUUUCUUGGAAUGCCAUGAUAUCUGGGUAUACAAGAAACCACAGGCUUGACGAGGCACUGGAUUUGUUCACGAAGAUGCCCCAUAGGGAUAUUGCUUCUUGCAACAUUAUGAUCACUGGUUUUAUACAAAACAAAGAUUUGAAGAGGGCACGGAAGCUCUUUGAUGAAAUGCCAGAAAGGAAUGUUGUCACUUGGACGACCAUGAUGAAUGGUUACUUGAAAGGCAAGCAGAGCGAGCUGUCAUUGGGGUUAUUUAGGGGUAUGUUAAUGUCAGGUAUCAGACCAAACCAAGUGACAUUUUUGGGUGCACUUGAUGCAUGCAGCGAUCUGGCGACACUAUGUGAAGGGAAGCAGGUGCAUCAAAUGAUAUGCAAAACAGCAUUUCAGGUUGAUACUUUUGUCGGCUCUGCCCUGAUGAAUGUCUAUGCGAAGUGUGGUGAAGUUGGGUUGGCAAGAAAGUUGUUUGAUCUUUCAAGGGAGAAGGACUUGAUCUCUUGGAAUGGAAUUAUUGCGGCAUAUGCACACCAUGGUGUUGGCAUAGAAGCAAUCCACUUGUAUGAAAAGAUGCAAGGAAAUGGAUAUAGGCCUAAUGAUGUCACCUAUGUGGUGUUGCUCUCAGCAUGUAGCCACUCUGGUUUGGUUGACGAAGGGCUUAAGAUCUUCGAAUCAAUGGUAAAUGAUAGAUCAAUUGCAGUGCGUGACGAACAUUAUACUUGUUUGAUUGAUCUUUGUAGCCGAGCAGGACGACUUGAUGAUGCCAAAAGAUUAAUUCACUAUCUUAAGAUUAAGCCUGCAUCAGGUUCUGUCUGGAGUGCCCUUCUAGGCGGGUGUAAUGCACAUGGAAAUGAGAGCAUUGGCAAUUUGGCAGCUAGAAAUCUCAUACAAGCAGAACCUGAUAACGCUGGAACCUAUACUCUCCUAUCCAAUAUCUAUGCUUCAGCUGGUAAGUGGAAAGAAGCAGCAGAAAUUAGGUCAGAGAUGAAUAAUCGAGGACUAAAGAAACAACCUGGUUGUAGUUGGAUAGAGGUGGCAAAUAAGGUUCAUGUGUUUGUAGCACGUGAUAAGUCUCACAGUGAAUCUGAUUUAAUCUAUGGUUUGCUGCAAAAUAUCCAUUACAUGAUGAGGAUUGUUGGAACUGUCCCCAGUGACCUUGUGCAUGUUGAUGAGGAAUUGAUGAUGUAGUGUAUAUUCAGUUACAAGCUGAAGUAUUUCAUUUCAACUGUAUGGAUUCAGUCAAACAAAGUAACAUCCAGCAUUCAAUCUAAGGGCAACCCUACGAAAACAUCAGGUAGCAAUUCCACUUACAUCACUUUGAGGAUACAAGUACAGUGUAUUCGCAAAAAAGGUACAGUGCUUUAUGCUACUAUGUUUCAUCUAUUUCCUGUUUGCACUUAUAUGGCUGGAUUUUGAUGCUAGAAAUUUGAACUGUGGCGCAAGCCAUUCCUCCUGCAAUUGAUUGGCAAUAUGUCAGAAGAGGAUCUCUUGACAUGAACACUAGCUGCAAAGCUGAAUGCAUAUACUGCUGAACUCUGCGCUGCAAAUAUGCAAAAGAGAAUUAGCUCCAGGAUUGAUGAGAUCUCAAAGAAAGGAUGGCUCAUCUUGAGGGAAAUUUAGAUCUAUUGUUACAAUACAGAAACAAGAGAACUGCAUGAUUCUGCUGAAAAAAAGGAGUAGUUCGGUUGUUCACCAUUGCCAUGAUGGCCUCAGUCAUCCUUUCUUCACUUUGCUCACACAUGGUACAUCCUGGAUACGAUCAUACGAAAUCUAGCUUUUGGAAACAUUUGGAGCUGUUUUAACUGCUCGACCGAAGAGACCUCUCUUUAUCUUCGUUAGGCCCAAAGGUGCUUUAACAAGCCCAUUAAUGGGACCACCUUUUGGUCCAUACGGCCCGACUGCCUACCGGCCCACCAGCACCAACCGUCCGACACUUCGUCCCUUCGAGUAGCCCCCACAGGGCCACACUGCCGAGCAGCAAACCAACCAGCCCACCCGCCGGUUGGUCACGCUCCUCCCCGAUCCCGAAUUCCCGAUCUCCGGCCGACGCCAUGGCAGCCCCCUCCGCGGCCGUCAUAGGGGUGCUCGUCCUCCUCGUCGUGGGGGCCUCGGGCGCGCGCCUCCCAGGCCGCGGCAGCACCACCCGGGGAGCUGCGCUGCCGCGCGGGGGAGCGCCGGCCACGGCGGUGUUCGCGCUGGGAAGCUUCUGGCGGUCGGAGGCGGCGUUCGGGUGCCUCCACGGCGUGAUCCGCACCUCCGUCGGCUACGCUGGCGGCUCCAAGUCCAACCCCGAGUACCGCAACCUCGCCGACCACGCCGAGUGCGUCAAGAUCUGUCAUCUUCACUAAUGGAACCAUCGAGGCCAGAUUGGCUGGUCUUAGCAAAGAAAAAGAACAAGCUAAAGACCGUAGCAGCGUUGUUACCACACAGAUCCAACCAUUGGGGGUCUUUCAUCAUGCUGAACCAGAACAUCAGAAAUUUGAACUGAAGCGUAAACCGUUCCUCUUGCAAUUGAUUGGGAAUUUGCCGGAGGAGGAGCUCCUGACAUCAACACUAGCUGCAAAACUGAAUGCAUAUGCCGCUGAGCUCUGCCCUGUGAAUACCCAAAAGAGAAUUAACUCCAAGAUUGAUGAGGUCACAAAGAAAGGAUGGCCCAUUUUAAGGGACAUUUAACUCUUUCUAGCUUUUGGACUGAAACCGAUCGAUGCAAUGUAGACACAGAAGAGGUGCAUGAUUUUGCAAAGAAGAUUUUUAGGAAUAUUUCAGCUGUUCGCCACUGCCAUGAUGACCUCAAUCAUCCAUUCUUCAUUUUGCUCACAAAGAUUAUAUAGUUGGUCAUAACAUGUCGUUGUGUUACUAUAUUUGUAACGCAUAUUCAUGGUUCGAAGCUUACUCAACAGACAACUUUUUUUCGUAUUGUUUGUUUUUCAUUUAUGAAAAUAUAGAUGUUUUGUUUUUAUUUAAUAGGUAUUGUGCAUGUUGUGACUGAUGUUGUACUAGUAAAUUGCUCGCGCAAAGUACUGUUAAAUUGAA